GACGAACGCUGGCGGCGUGCCUAAUACAUGCAAGUCGAGCGAGACUCUUCGGAGUCUAGCGGCGGACGGGCGAGUAACACGUGGGCAACCUGCCUGUAAGACUGGGAUAACACCGGGAAACCGGUGCUAAUACCGGAUAAUCCUUUUCCUCUCAUGAGGAAAAGCUGAAAGUCGGUUUCGGCUGACACUUACAGAUGGGCCCGCGGCGCAUUAGCUAGUUGGUGAGGUAACAGCUCACCAAGGCGACGAUGCGUAGCCGACCUGAGAGGGUGAUCGGCCACACUGGGACUGAGACACGGCCCAGACUCCUACGGGAGGCAGCAGUAGGGAAUCUUCCACAAUGGACGAAAGUCUGAUGGAGCAACGCCGCGUGAGCGAUGAAGGCCUUCGGGUCGUAAAGCUCUGUUGUUAGGGAAGAACAAGUACCGGAGUAACUGCCGUUACCUUGACGGUACCUAACCAGAAAGCCACGGCUAACUACGUGCCAGCCGCCGCCGUAACAC
rnacentral:rRNA from 1 species